CCAAUAGCGUAUAUUAAAGUUGUUGCAGUUAAAAAGCUCGUAGUUGAAUUUCGGGGUUCCACCGUUGGUCGGGCUAUUGUCUGUACUGGCGUGUGGAAUUUCUACCUUCUGGGGAACUAUCAUGUUAUUAAUUUAGCGUGGUAGGAAACCAGGACCUUUACCUUGAAAAAAUUAGAGUGUUCAAAGCAGGCUUAUGUCUGAAUACAUUAGCAUGGAAUAAUAAAAUAGGACGGUGGUCCUGUUUUGUUGGUUUCUGAAUCACCGUAAUGAUUAAUAGGGAUAGUCGGGGGCAUUAGUAUUCAAUUGUCAGAGGUGAAAUUCUUGGAUUUAUUGAAGACUAACUACUGCGAAAGCAUUUGCCAAGGAUGUUUUCAUUAAUCAAGAACGAAAGUUAGGGGAUCGAAGACGAUCAGAUACCGUCGUAGUCUUAACCAUAAACUAUGCCGACUAGGGAUCGGACGAUGUUAACUUUUCUUGACUCGUUCGGCGCCUUACG
rnacentral:rRNA from 1 species